GCAGACCUAGCCCACCCCGCGACCCUCGUUCCUCAUGUGCCGCCGCCGCCCCCCGCCCGCGAUGGAGAAAGUGAGAGGAAAGAGGAGAGGGAGGUGAGGCAGCAGACAGGAGAGGGUCACCGGCUGCUGUCGGCCUGCGCCGGCGAGGUCGGGCGCGACCUGGCGGUUGGUGGCGGCUCGAUCCGCUCCUGGAUCGGGAGAGGAGGAAGGGAGGUGGGGGGCCGGCCGUCUCUGUGCCUCCUCGACGCCGAGCUGCGGCUGCUCCAUGAGGAGUAGGAGGAGGAAGGGAGGAUGAGGAAGUAGACCAGCAGGAGGAAGAGAGGAUCUCGGGACGCGCUCCUUAUUGGACUUACUGUAGUAUAAACAGGCCUUGCCUUUAGCUUUGUGGAAUAUUUAGAUCGCGGCGAUAGGUUCGAGCGACGCCAACCGCGGCCAACGACCUUGAUGCGGAUGGCAGCGACUGAACCGGUGGACAUGGUCGACGUAUAGGGGAAUCCACAUUUCUCUUUGCUUCCAUGUCCACAGGAGAAAAUUGCUAAACAUUUUGGCAUCCCAAGAUUUCCUCCCCACGGUAUGCAGUGGCUCAAGGAAGCUGAAGAGGAAGGCUAAGAUGAUGAAGAAGAGUAGAGUCGGAGUGGAAUGCAUCGUUCUGCAAUUUGGGUGGUUUCCUGGUGAGUUUGCACUUUGCACCCAGGAAGAUUUGGAAGCUCGAAAUUUGUUUGUACAAAAACAUAACUCCAGCGAUUUGGGAAGGUUGAUUUUUAUCUUCUGGAGGGCCUCGACUAGAAGACCAACCGAUGGAGCUUUUAGGUCUAUGGGAAGACGGAUCUGGUGGUUUCCUUUAUACCGAAAAAGGGUUUCCCCCCGCUUUGUAUACAAAGCAACCAACCGGGUCAUACAGGGAGGUGGUUUCCUUUAUAUUCCGACAAGUAUAUGUAUAUCUGAGCUUGUUCCCGGAUUGGGUUGCUGCUGGAUCUGGAUGUGAUGUGAUGUUGCGCCUGAUGGUUAUUGGUUUUGCUGGCCCUUAACUGAUUUUGUAUUCAAGUGCCGUCUUUGAAACGCCAAGUCCUGCUUCUCCUGGCAACUCAAGGAAGCUGAGGAGGACGAAGAUGAUGAGGAUGGCGAACAAGGGUAGAGUCGAGAGGAAUGCAUCUUGCUGCAAUUUGGUUGGUUUCUUGGUGGGUUUGCACCCAGGAAGUUUUGGAGACUUGAAAGUUUGUUUGUACAAUAACAUAACUCCAGCGACAGAUCUGGUGGCUUCCUUUAUAUUUCGACAAGUAUAUGUAUAUCUGAGCUUGUCUUUGGGUUGGGUUGCUGCUGGCUUUGAAUGGGAUGGGUUCUUGCCUUCCUGGGUGUUCCUCUACCUCAGCUCAACAUGAGGAUCUUGGGCCGCGGUUGCACUGCACGAGGUGGCGCCAGCAAUAUGCCUCGCGUCUCUGUGAGCCAAUGACAGCGAUGAGCUAGGGAGAGCAAUCAUGGAUUCGCUACGGCAUCGACGCCCCAUCUCAAGGUACAACACAUGUGCUACUAUUCUCACAAAGGGAAUACUUACCGUUGACCAUUACUACGUAUGCCACAUGACAGAAACAUUUGCUACCGACGGCAAAAGAAUGCCUCUUCCCGCACAUGGAUAUUGAUCAUGAUGAGAUACCAAUCAGGAGACGGGACCACCAGUGUCAUGGCCUGCUUUAUCAAGAGUGUCGACAACAGGGCUACACUCACAAAGAACUGGAGCAGCCUCUUCCAUAAGGCGAACAUGAAGAAAGGGUGUGCAUAUGCUUUCGCCUUCAAGUGCAUGUCCAAGGCGAAAUUAAACUUGAUUCUCUUCGCCCCGAUCGGUUUCUGUGCUAAUUAACUCGAUGACCAAGAUUUUCAGGAGCAGCUUCUACCUGUCGAAGCAACCACGUGAGCAUGAGGAGGAGGAGGAGGAUUCGGCGGCGGGGGAGUACGAGUACGUGGAUCUCGAGGACGGACAAGGCGGCAAGCAUGCCGGCGGUUGCGGCGUGGACUCUGGCGACCCCCUCUUGACCACUGUCAUCGGCAUCUUCUUCAUGCUACUGGGCUGCUUCUACCUGUUUUGCCCCUGCGACCUCCAGCCCGGCGCAGCAGGGCGGAGGGCGCCGUCGUGGUAAUCGCCGGCGUCUUGUUCCUUGCUCUAGGGGCCGCCGCCUGGGGCUACGCUUGCACCUCGUGCUGGAGGACGUCGCCGGCUUCUGGUUGAGAUUUGUUCGUUCUAUUCUUGGCUUACUUCAUUGUCUCUGUUCCAACGACCGAGUAUUGUUUAAUCUGUUAUUGUCAUCUAGGUAUAGCUAAUUGUGUGUUAGCUCUAGCAAGGUCGUUUGGUUCAGACUUGGUUGUCAACGCCAAGUACUAAUUGAAUUGUGUGUGAUUCAAGUGAGCAUGCCAUGGAAUGCAAAGUC